ACUCGCGACUUGCGUCGGUGUC
rnacentral:snRNA from 1 species